GCACCUAAACCAAUAACAUUAAUAAUCAAUUUUCUUUAUAUACAGCUUUGCUUCUCCUUGUGCUUCUCCUCUUCCCCCAUAAGUCAUCUGAGAAGACUGCUUAAAUAUUCCACGCUGCCUUAGUGUGACUCAAAUUUCCAGCUGUUUUGCUGCCAGGAAGAACCAGGUGCCUUGGGAACAGUGAGGCUGAAAGGAGCAGGAAGCAAAGAAUGAGGCUGUUGAAGAAAUUCCACAGAUAUUUCCGUGGAAGUAUCAAGAAGACCUAGAGUAAGGCAUCAUCAAAUUGAUAGACUUGAACAAAAGGGAGGAGUGAGACAGACGGAUGGAUACAGAGCAUGGAGGCCAUACUCUUGGUAUGUCUUCAAUUCAAGCAUUCCAAAUGAAAGGAUCUGAUUGGUUUGACAACACUCCCUCUCAGGUAAAAUAUUUCCAUCGGGAAGAACUCUAGAAGCAGUCGUUUGGAUGGUCAACCUUUGGCCAGGAGCCUCUCUCCUAGGCCCCCAACCAGAAUUCAGCCAUCUCUGAUGACAGACCUGACGAUUUUCAGCCUCCAUUUUGGAAAUUUCGCCUCGCAAAACUCUCAGGAACACAAACACAAAAGGAAAAAAAUAGAACAUAAGCCGCUGGGCAUCUAAGAUGUGUGAGCACUAGAGCCUCCUUGCACAGAGCUGGUGGGUCACUGAAGGCUGGCCUCACCACAGCCCCCAGAAGGUGAGUUUUGUCCUAGGGGUAAGUAUUACAGUUCCCUCUGCUCUUGUUUAUCUCCACAAACACCCAAAUCUGCUUCUGUUCCAAGACUGUUUCAUUCCAGACUGAUUUUCUUUUGUAUUUGAAUGACCACCAGCAUUUUCCCCCCUUGAACUCUGGCUGCUGAUCCAUUCUUUGUCUUAAUUCCUCUAUUCCUCUCUCUGCUGCAGUUCUCAUCACUGACAUAGCCAGGCCAUUACUCUGUUUUUGCCAAGCCCUGUGGGGCAGAGCUGGCAUUUUCUGAGCUAAUUUCUUCUGAGAUGUAAUUGAGAUACUGUAAAGCCUCC
rnacentral:lncRNA from 1 species